rnacentral:rRNA from 1 species
GACGAACGCUGACGGCGUGCUUAACACAUGCAAGUCGAACGGAAAGGCCCUGCUUUUGUGGGGUGCUCGAGUGGCGAACGGGUGAGUAACACGUGAGUAACCUGCCCUUGACUUUGGGAUAACUUCAGGAAACUGGGGCUAAUACCGGAUAGGAGCUCCUGCUGCAUGGUGGGGGUUGGAAAGUUUCGGCGGUUGGGGAUGGACUCGCGGCUUAUCAGCUUGUUGGUGGGGUAGUGGCUUACCAAGGCUUUGACGGGUAGCCGGCCUGAGAGGGUGACCGGCCACAUUGGGACUGAGAUAUGGCCCAGACUCCUACGGGAGGCAGCAGUGGGGAAUAUUGCACAAUGGGCGGAAGCCUGAUGCAGCAACGCCGCGUGCGGGAUGACGGCCUUCGGGUUGUAAACCGCUUUCGCCUGUGACGAAGCGUGAGUGACGGUAAUGGGUAAAGAAGCACCGGCUAACUACGUG